rnacentral:misc_RNA from 1 species
GUUCCGUAGGUGAACCUGCGGAAGGAUCAUUAUAAAUGAAAAACGAAUAACUUCAGGGAAGAAGGGAACCUGCACGGUGACCUCCCCUGUCGGGCCACCCAAUACCUUCAAAAUGCCGCCGUCCUAGCGGUGGCAGACGAAAAAAAAACAAGAAAAACAAAAUAGAAACAGGCACGGUGGCCCGUUCUCCUUCACACAACCCUCCGAGUACCGCUUCCAUGUUGCUUCCCCGCAAAUCCACCUCUCUGGUGAGCGCGGGGGAGGUCCGCAUCAAAUUCACCUGAAUGUCACAGCAGUCAGACAGCCAUACAUGGAAACAAUAAAACUUUCAACAACGGAUCUCUUGGUUCCC